UAUCUCUAAGUAGGGGCUGACAUCCCAAGCAACACGACAUUGCUGUGAAGAUGACAUACGACCAUGACAUACGACCAACUCCUGGCUGGAAGGCAAGGUGGCGCCCACCCCACUGUCUCAGCAGCUUUGUCCUCCUUCCCUGGAAUCUGCUAGGAGUCACAGAAGGAGGGCAUUGAUGGACAGGGCAGAUAAGGACCUUGGGAAUAGCUGCCGGCCAGCUUGCCUGCCUUCAUAGCUGAAACCCGACCCUGAGAGGCCGAGCGAGGAGGCAACUACAGCUCCACUUUCUGAACGGGCUCCCAGCGUGGGUCACUCAUGGAUGACCACUGACAUAACCAGCUGGGACGGGUUGGGGGGGGUGGAAAGGCCCUGAGUCUGCUGAGCUGCUGCCCAAAUAUGGGCAUCCAAGCCUUCCCUUUGGUCCCUCCAGCUUCAUGCAGGAAGACCUAACUACCCAGUGGGACUUGGGACUGGCGGUGUGGCUCAGUGACGGGCACUUAUUCAGUACAACACACUUGUCCAUGCUUAGCACUGCAAAACAAAGUCAACAAAAAGCCGAGAGCAAGAUCAGCCCAGAUCAAAAUGCAAUAUGGACCCCGAGACUCCAGCAAACACCCAAACCUUUCUGUUGCAGUGCUCAGGCUAGGGGAGAGAAGCCAUAGCAGUGCCCACACGGACAUGGAUUUUCACACCAACCUGAAAAUCCAAGCUUCCAGGCUGCCAACCAACUUGGACGGUGUGUUAAUGGAGGUGUUUGUCUGAGCCCCAAGCAUGAGAGGUUGCUUUUGGUCACCGUGUUUCAUCACAGCGGUAGUGAGGUAACAAGACAGACAGGUAUCUGGAGCUUUGGAGCGGCUAACCUCAUCCCUGGAGUGGCUGUUUCAACAAAGAUCCAAGAAGAAUGAAAGAAAACUGAGCAAAUCUUCAGGAAGGGCACUGAUAGUUCAUUCCAAGUCGAACCUAGUGAACCAAUGAGUUUGCUGGAGAAGCAUGGGCAGCUGCAUCACCAAAACACCUACCCCAGCGUUUGUGAUAAAACCUACCCAGUGUGCGUGAUAAAACAACUCACGAAAGCUGUCUACCUAGAGUUCCUUGACCAACUUACAGGCAGGUCCACCAGUCUUCCCAGUGUGGGUUGGUUCUUUUUGUUUGUUUUUGGUUUUUGC